ensembl:lncRNA
CACUACUCCAACUACUACAACUACUACUAGUACUCCAACUACUCCAACUACAACAACUACUACCAGUACUACAACUACUCCAACUACUACCAGUACUACAACUACUCCAACUACUACUACCAGUACUCCAACUACUCCAACUACAACAACUACUACCAGUACUACAACUACUCCAACUACUACUAGUACUACAACUACUCCAACUACUCCAACUACUACUACAACUACUCCAACUACAACAACUACCACGAGUACUCCAAUUACUACACCUACAUCAACUACACCCAGUAAACCAUCAUAUGUUACAGUUCUCAAAUUGAAGAUGACCUCUUUGGUGGACUUGUCUAAAAUUGAUAGAGAUACAUUCCUUACACAGAUAAAAAAUGCACUGAUAUCCAAAGGGCUGCCCCAACAGACGGUCAUCCGACUCAUAAACAACAAACUAGAGAUUGGUGCAACUGGCACAACAUAAACAUUUGACAGCUUCAAGAGCUUUUUCCUUUCAGCUGUUGAAUGAAGUUUUGUCUUCACUGUUCUUUAACACACAUUUUUAAUAAUUACAAUCACUUCUCAAGAGCAGCCUUUAAAAGCAACACAUUAGUCUGACUCUCCAGUGCUAUAAUCUGAAAUGAAUUAAUAUGUACUUUUGUUAGAUUGUGAAGAUUAAAUGUUAUUUUGCACUGAGUAUCCUUAGUCUAGCACAGAUACACUGAUUGAUUAUCCACAGUGACGGGAAUAACGGCGUUGCAAGUGACGGCGUUACUUUUUUCAGUAACAAGUAAUCUAACCAAUUACUAUUCCUAUCGUUACAACGCCAUUACUGUUACUAACAAGAAAAUGCAGUGCGGUCACGUUAGUAUUUUUCAACAGACGGUUGAAGCUGCGUUCAGCUUAACACACGGAAGUAGCUGUCUACGUAAAUAAUCAUGGCGCUACAGCUUUAAGCAGCUGCGCGCCUUGUGUAGUUAGUGUGUAGUGUUGUGGAUAGUUUUGUGUUGUGUGUCAAAACAAUGAGGUGACUGCUGUCUCCAGGUGUCAGGCUGUGAUGUUCUCCUUUAUAGUGGACAGAAAUAUUUGGAGUGGCACAAAUAAUUUGUGUGGCAUCUUAUUGAAUAAAGAACAGCUGAUUGUUCUGUAAAUAGUUUGAAAUGGUUAUUUUAAAAAAAGUGUAGAAAGUAAAUGGCUGCAAAUAACUUUAUUCUUUGCAAAACUUGUGCAUAUGAUUUUAAAAUUGACAAUUUACAUUUGCAUUUAAAGUUAUGAAAUAUGAUUCAAU